rnacentral:lncRNA from 1 species
AUAUAGCCAAGUUUCUCUCUUUCUCUCGUAAAACGGUAUGCUACUCGGAAUAGAUCGAUUGCGCCGAUCCAUAGUCCAGAAUAAACAUCAAACACAAAAUAAUAUUUGCAGAGAAUUGAGAGGAGAAAAUUAGAGUGGAAGAAAAAAAUAGGAAAGUAAAUAAAUAUAUUCAAAAGUAAAUAGAGACCGAAAUAAUGAGUUCAAAAUCUAGUUUAAUUUAAAAGUUAAUUUUGAUGGCUGUGUAAUGGAUGAUAAGGCUGUAGUAGGUUAUGCUAUUCAUGUUCACAAUGGUCGGUUGAUAUCAGCAGCAAACAAACUAGUUUGAAAAAUCUCAGUAUCUUAUGCAGAGCUUCUUGCAGCAUGGUAUGAUAUUCACACAUCCAUAUACACUUAUGAAACUUUGCAGGUGUGGGCUGAAGGAGAUUCAUCUACUAUUAUCUCCUGGCUCAAUUCAUCUUAUUCCAAAGUGCAGGUUAACCUAGUUUUGAAGGAUAUUUGGCAGUGGAAGUCUAUUGCUACAAAUUUCCAAGCCUCGAUCCUAUGUGUUUCGGCAGCUAAUCAAGCAGCUGAUUGGAUUGCCGCUCAGCCAAUCAGAUCUCAUGAGGUUUCAUACCAGGACUAUCUCUCAGCUCCAGCAGGAUCCACAAUAAAAUUCAGUUGGAUUUCGAAGAAGAAAACAGCAUCUCGGAUUCACUAUUUUUUGCAGAAGGUGUGGGGAAAGUUUCCAAGCGAAGACAUUUGCUUCAAUUAAUCUGCAAAAAGUAUCAGACUUGCUCUGGAGUCUAAGCAGGUUACUGUCGAGAAUGGCUUGAUGGUCAAUGAAAGGAAUUUGGGUACCCCUGGUGUGAGGACCGGCCCAUUCAACAGCCCAUACCCAGUUGGGCCUAUGGGCCAACCCAAUGUAGCCCGCUAUUUGGAGGCUGCCACCUCCUCCUUUGGGGAGGUCCUGCUGUCAAUAGAGGAGAGGGACAGCUCGCUGAUCGGAGGGACAGCUGCCGGCAGCGUGAGAAGUUACCACCGCUUAAGAGCACUAUCUGUAGGACCUCACCGCACCCUUCCUUACUCCUGAGGGGGAACUCCUUGAACCGACAACGGAGACACCAGAGCAGGGGACGUUGCAGCCAUUUCCAGGGUAAGGUAGACCUUAAUCCUUUAUUUUUUUGAUAAUGGAAAGAAAGAAAGGAAGAAGGAAGGGAGAGCCUACCGGUGUUCUCGGCCGCAGAUCCGGCGCGGUGAGCUUGGCUGCAGCCAUGGUCGCAGCCGUCGACGGCCGGAGGCCCUUCCUCCCCUCCCUCGGGCUCGGCCGGGGACGCCAUGGGCUCGGCCGCAGGCGUCGGCCGCAAGUGCCGCCGGCCGUGACUCAGUCCCUCCCGAGUUCGCCUUCCUCCCGUCGCGGGAGGAGAUAAGGGGGAGGAAAUGAGGGAUCGGGAAAAGAGAGAAGAGAGGAGAAGAGAAAAAGAGAAGAAAAGGGAACGGGAACUCACCGGUUCGUCGUCGCGCGCGGCAGCCACCGGCACGAGGUUACGGGCGUCGAGCGUCGGCCGCGAGUGCGGCCGAGGGCGCUGCGGGCUUCGGCCGCGGGAGUCGGUCACGGGAGCCGGCCGGCCAUGGCUCGACCCCUCAUGAGCUCACCCUCCUCUCUU